rnacentral:rRNA from 1 species
CCUACGGGGUGCAGCAGUGGGGAAUAUUGGACAAUGGGCGAAAGCCUGAUCCAGCCAUGCCGCGUGUGUGAAGAAGGCCUUCGGGUUGUAAAGCACUUUCAGUGGGGAAGAAAGCCUUGGGGCUAAUACCCUCGAGGAAGGACAUCACCCACAGAAGAAGCACCGGCUAACUCCGUGCCAGCAGCCGCGGUAAUACGGAGGGUGCGGGCGUUAAUCGGAAUUACUGGGCGUAAAGCGCGCGUAGGCGGUCUGAUAAGCCGGUUGUGAAAGCCCCGGGCUCAACCUGGGAACGGCAUCCGGAACUGUCAGGCUAGAGUGCAGGAGAGGAAGGUAGAAUUCCCGGUGUAGCGGUGAAAUGCGUAGAGAUCGGGAGGAAUACCAGUGGCGAAGGCGGCCUUCUGGACUGACACUGACGCUGAGGUGCGAAAGCGUGGGUAGCAAACAGGAUUAGAUACCCUUGUAGUC